UUAUCUUUGGCCCGUAGUGCAUGGAUAAUUCGUGGUCGUGAUACUAAAGAAUAUCCUUGGCCUGUAGUGCAGGGAUGAUUCGAUGAUGUGGAUUAUUUAUUGAGCUGAGUCUCAGCGAUAAAAGUGAUGAAAAACUUUUUAAAUCAUAAAAGAUAGUAGAUUUUAUUCUCUACUUGACUCUUUUAAUGGAUUGCUUGUUCCGCUGCAG
rnacentral:lncRNA from 1 species